rnacentral:rRNA from 1 species
CAGUAGCCGCGGUAAUACGAAGGAUGCAAGCGUUAAUCGGAAUUACUGGGCGUAAAGCGUGCGUAGGCGGUUUGUUAAGUCUGUUGUGAAAUCCCCGGGCUUAACCUGGGAAUGGCAAUGGAUACUGGCAAGCUAGAGUGUGUCAGAGGAUGGUGGAAUUCCCGGUGUAGCGGUGAAAUGCGUAGAGAUCGGGAGGAACAUCAGUGGCGAAGGCGGCCAUCUGGGACAACACUGACGCUGAGGCACGAGAGCGUGGGGUGCAAACAGGAUUAGAUACCCCCGUAGUCCCUGUCUCUUAUAC